rnacentral:tRNA from 1 species
GGUGGGGUAGUAUAAAAGUACAAUGGGCUCAUGCCCCGGAAGUGGUGGAUAUAAAGUUCCCUCCCCGCCA